rnacentral:rRNA from 1 species
UACGAAGGGGGGCUAGCGUUGCUCGGAAUCACUGGGCGUAAAGCGCACGUAGGCGGACUCUUAAGUCGGGGGUGAAAUCCUGGAGCUCAACUCCAGAACUGCCUUCGAUACUGGGAGUCUUGAGUUCGGGAGAGGUGAGUGGAACUGCGAGUGUAGAGGUGAAAUUCGUAGAUAUUCGCAAGAACACCAGUGGCGAAGGCGGCUCACUGGCCCGAUACUGACGCUGAGGUGCGAAAGCGUGGGGAGCAAACAGG